rnacentral:misc_RNA from 1 species
AAUGCGCUAAGUAAUGUGCAUUGCAGAAUUCAGUGAAUCAUCGAAUCUUUGAACGCACCUUGCGCUCCUUGGUAUUCCGAGGAGCAUGCCUGUUUGAGUGUCAUGGAAUUCUCAACUCUAUUUGCUUUUGUGAAUAGAGCUUGGAUUUGGAGGUUUAUUGCUGGUACUUGUGAUCGGCUCCUCUUGAAUGCAUUAGCUCGAACCUUUGCGGAUCAGCUAUCGGUGUGAUAAUUGUCUACGCCGUUGCAGUGAAGCAUAUCAAUGGGCUCGGCUUCCAAUCGUCCUUUACUGGACAAUGACUUUGACCUUUGACCUCAAAUCAGGUAGGAUUACCCGCUGAACUUAAGC